GAUCAUGGCUCAGGAUGAACGCUAGCUACAGGCUUAACACAUGCAAGUCGGGGGGCAGCGGGAUUGAAGCUUGCUUCAAUUGCCGGCGACCGGCGCACGGGUGAGUAACGCGUAUCCAACCUUCCGCUUACUCGGGGAUAGCCUUUCGAAAGAAAGAUUAAUACCCGAUGGUAUCUUAAGCACGCAUGAGAUUUAGAUUAAAGAUUUAUCGGUAAGCGAUGGGGAUGCGUUCCAUUAGG
rnacentral:rRNA from 1 species